GCUUAAUGAAACAAUACUUAACUUCAAUAAAUGGUGACUGAAGGAAUAAAACAAUGAAGAAAGGGUACAAUCACACAAUGAUGUAUUAUGUAGUCAAUAAUUAUAUUUACCUAUAUUGUUUAAUAACAUGCUACAAUGCUCACAACAAAACAAUAUAAUGAAAUAUAGAGAAAUGUUGAAAAACAACAGUGGUAUAUAUAAUAUGACCCCAAUUUUUAAUCCAACACUACCUUGAUAAAUUCAGACUAUUAAUGCAAUUUUUCUUUAGGAUUCAGGACAUUCUUAAAGUGAACAGUCCAAAUUGUAUUUGCUGUCUAGAAAACCAACAGAAGUGUAGCUUAUCAAGGAAAAAGAUGAGAAGCUCCAUAAAAUUAUAAAAAGGAAGCAACAAAUUCCUGAAAAAUUUAGACCAUGUACACAAUCAAUUCAUAUUGUUCAAAGCAUGAGUCCUAAUUAAUUAGAAUAACAGCAGUAACAACUAUUAAGUACCUGCAUUUGGGAAUACUCUUAUUGCCUACCAAAAAGAAAAAUAAAACUACACCAAUUCAUAAUUUAUGCCAUGCAACUAAUGAGAAAUAUUGAGUUACUUUACAAUCCAUCAUUCACCUAUCUGAGCACAUAAUAUUUUUCAGCCCUAUGAAAUACCAAGUUCUUUAAUAGGGCAUGGAGAUCCCAAAGAUGAAUUAGACAGAAAUCUUGCCCUUAAGCAGGUCAAAACCUACUGGGUGAUCCAGGUAGGUAGACACUGACAUUGAAUGUGAUAAGCUCAACACUGAAGUUGUACAUAAAGGCUACGAAGACAGUGCAGCUGUAGGUCUUGGGUAAAUGGGAAAAGUUUUCAGAGAGGUUGAUUCUAGGCUGUCUUAAAAACUGUGAGGAGGUUGCCAAAUAGACAAAGGAGGGAAAGGCAUUCCCAGGAGAGAAUAACAGGUUCAAAAGCUUAGAGAUGGAAGAGGAUGCUUCCAAUCUGGGAAUCCCAGACAUUUUAGUAGAACUAGAAUGCAAGAUACUAGAUCUGUAGAGAAUGGGAAGAGUUGAAGUAAGCAGGGGGAAAAAGUGUCUUAAUGCUAUUCUAAAUAGUUUGGGUUUCAUAGCAGAGAGCCCAGAAAAUAUUUGGGACUGAGUAGUGACAUGAUCUCAUUUGUGUAUCAGAAAGAUUAUUCUAGGAUGAAUUUGGAGGCACUGAGGCUUAUUUUGGAGUUGGACUUAGACCUGCAGACACUUAUCACUGUUAGAUGGGCCCUUCCAAGAGAAUUUGUAAACAGAGAUCUUGCUCUCAGGAAAUUUAACAUUUAAUUCAUAGAACCCAAAAUCACAGCCUACAGAGAAAUGCACUUUCUUAAGGUAAUGUGUUCUGUUUGCCAGCACUUUGACACAAAGAGAAGUGCUGGCUUCAUAGAAAUAAUUAAUCCUCUUUUUCUGCCACUGGGAUAAACAAAGGAAAGAAAGAAAUAGAUGUUAUAAAAAAAUAAAAUCCAAGGCAGAUCAAAGGGGAUGUGGCGGAGGAUUCAGCAACUGCCACCCUUAAGCAAAGAACAGUAAUGAAGAAAUGAGUUUUGGCAGCCUAGCCAAUGGGAUAUGAAAGAAAUUAAUCCCGAAGGGAUGUAAUGACCUGAAAAAAAUGAUGAGCAAAGUCCAGAAGGAUUAGAAGAAAGAAAAAGGCAGCAGACAGGUAAGAGCCAUUUUCUUCUCUGUCUUGUCUAUCUGAAGGAUAUCAGAUAGUCCUCAGCGAUGGGAGCUGUGGAAAAGCAAGCCAAAGAAUUGAUUUGGCAAAGUCAUUUAAAUUUCUUAUUCUUCUUAUUCAUUUUUUCUCGUUAAGGCAAAGAAUGGUACUUUAAUUUACUGUCAUAACACAGGAACUAGCUAUUGAUAAGAUUAACCUUGUUCAAUCAUGAUGAAAUUCAGUAAACUCAGGACACAUUUUUGGAUACUUUGUUUUCCCAGCUAAAGAUAAGAGUUGCUCCUAAGACUCAGACCUUUAGUAUAAUGUACACUGAUGGUUUUUAUUUUUUUCUUUCCAGAAUGGACUUCAGUGCAACAGGGAAUUAAACUGAAAUCAUUAAAUUCUUUCUGCUUAGCACUUUAGAGAAAAUUUCUAUCAGCCUGCCUAAGUGCUCACCAUGGGAAACUGAAACCAGGAAUUUAAUCUCAAAUUUCUGAAGACAUUCAGACUUAUCCAUUGUUCUAUGAAUCAGGAAUAUGUUAACAGAAGUUCUGGUUAUUGAAGAAUCUUCAGAAUGAAAAUCAAAUUAUGAAAUCCCCAGGUAAUUUGACUUCAUGGCCAGCAUUGCAUCUCAGAAUAUUUUUUAUAAGGGCUACAAAAGUGUGACUAUUAAGCUUUUAAAAAAAAUUAAAAUAUCUUUUCAGUUGUAAUAUUCCCACCAUGGGUGAAGUCUGCUGUCUGAUUGCUAGAAUUUUGGCCGAUGCCUUCUUGCACCUCUAUGAACCCGACUCCAGCCCCUCCCCUCUAAUUACUGCCCACAGUGAAGAGAGAAUUUCUGCCCACUCCCUGCAAGCCCAGGUUGGAAAUGUUUGAGGAGGCAUUUAUCAUGAAAGCCGUGGCCUUUGCUCCUAAAGCUUCGUCUCACAAGUACAAUAACAAAAACUGCUAAUUAAAAGAGGGAAAACAACCAGGAGUCAAACACAAAGGGGCAUCCCUGCCUCAUCAGCACAGAACAAUCGACCGGCUCCCUUCACUGCCCAUGCGAGGCUCCAUGUGAGGAAGCCUGCUCUGCCCUUCCAGUACAGCUCAGGACUAAUUUGAAGACAAGAAACGAUUCCAGUGCCUUGUAAAUUGCGAUCCACAUUGCAACUCCUAGCAGCCACAGUUCAGCAC
rnacentral:lncRNA from 1 species